rnacentral:rRNA from 1 species
AGAGUUUGAUCCUGGCUCAGGAUGAACGCUAGCUACAGGCUUAACACAUGCAAGUCGAGGGGCAGCAUGUCGGUUGCUUGCAACCAACGAUGGCGACCGGCGCACGGGUGAGUAACGCGUAUCCAACCUACCCUUGUCCAUCGGAUAACCCGUCGAAAGGCGGCCUAACACGAUAUGCGGUUCACAGCAGGCAUCUAACGUGAACGAAAUGUAAAGGAGAAGGAUGGGGAUGCGUCUGAUUAGCUUGUUGGCGGGGUAACGGCCCACAAGGCUACGAUCAGUAGGGGUUCUGAGAGGAAGGUCCCCCANAUUGGAACUGAGACACGGUCCAAACUCCGUACGGGAGCA